AUUGAACGCUGGCGGCAGGCCUAACACAUGCAAGUCGAGCGGAGCGGCGGACGGGUGAGUAAUGCCUAGGAAUCUGCCUGGUAGUGGGGGAUAACGUCCGGAAACGGGCGCUAAUACCGCAUACUAUCAGAUGAGCCUAGGUCGGAUUAGCUAGUUGGUGGGGUAAAGGCCUACCAAGGCGACGAUCCGUAACUGGUCUGAGGGGAUGAUCAGUCACACUUGAACUGAGAAACGGGCCCAACUCCUUCGGGAGGGAGGCGUGGGGAAAUUUGGACCAUGGGCGAAAGCCUUAUCCCGCCAAGCCGGGUGUUGUAAGAAGGUCUUCGGAUUGUAAAGCACUUUAAGUUGGGAGGCGUUACCAACAGAAUAAGCACCGGCUAACUUCGUGCCAGCAGCCGCGGUAAUAC
rnacentral:rRNA from 1 species